rnacentral:rRNA from 1 species
AAACCAACAGGGAUUGCCCUAGUAACGGCGAGUGAAGCGGCAACAGCCCAGAUUUGAAAUCCGGCUCCUCUCGGGGCCCGAGUUGUAAUCUGCAGAUGGGUCUUUUGGUAGAGCGCCGCCCAAGUUCCCUGGAAUGGGACGCCUCAGAGGGUGAGAGCCCCGUACAGGCGGUUGCCGAGCCUCUGUAAAGCCCAUUCGACGAGUCGAGUAGUUUGGAAAUGCUGCUCUAAUCGCGGGGUAAACCUCCCGUAAGGCUAAAUACCGGCCAGAGACCGAUAGCGCACAAGUAGCGUGAGCGAAAGAUGAAAAGGGCCUUGAACAAGGGCGUCAAAAAGUAUGUGAAAUUGUUAUGGGGGAAGCGCUCGAUGCCAGACUCGGGGGCGGUUGGUUACCCGGCGGUCCUCGCCGGCGCACUCUGCCGCCCCUGGGCCAGCAUCAGUUCGGCGCGGGGCCUACUGCCUCGGGGAACGUGGCUCCCUCGGGAGUGUUAUAGCCUCUUGGCGACGUCCCGUGCCGGACUGAGGACCGCGCCUUCGGGCCUGGAUGCUGGCGUAAUGGCCCCUAGCGAC